UAGUAGUAGUGUGGUGGUGGUGGUGGUGGUGGUGGUGGUAGUAGUAGUAGUAGUAGCAGUAGUAGUAGGAGUAGUAGUACCAGUAGUAGCAGUAGUAGUAGUAGUAGUAGUAGUAGUAGUAUUAGACGUAAUACUAGCAACGGCGGCAAGAGUAGAAACGAAGAAAAGCUCACCACUAACGGUAAUGGUGAAGAGGAAUUUUCGAAGCACAACGGUAGCGGUAACGAUGAGACUGAUCGUGACUCGGUUCACGCACUUCCCGUACGGCGUACGAGCUGUACGCGCGUGUACAAGCGCGCACAUACGAAAAGAGGAGGGAGCUCCGACCGAUUCCUACUACCACUACGCGCGUGAGGAAUCUCUCGAGCUGAAGUGACUGGCUGAAAUUACAUAGCCACUUCGAUACGUCGAGCCGGAGAAAGACAGAGAGAGAGAGAGAGAGAGAGAGAGAGAGAGAAAGAGAAAGAGAAAGAGAGAGAGAGAGAUAAAGAGAGAGAGAUAGCUCGAGUCAAAUCGAAUCGAAUCGAAGAUUUCUCCCCGGCGUCUAUACGCUACUAUCUUUCUUACAACUUAUACAUACCAAUAAAAUUCAUUAACUUCGAUACUUUAA